GCCUCCAUAGCUCAGCUGGCAGAGCAAGGGACUUUUAAUCCUUGGGUCCGGGGUUCGAGCCCCCGUGGGGGCACCG
rnacentral:tRNA from 2 species